UGCACAUAUAUGCAUGUGCAUGUGUGCUCGUGUGCGUGCAUAUGUGUAGGAGCACGUGCAUGUAUGCAUGUGUGUGUGCAUGAAAUGUAGAGGCACCCUGGGGCCUCUUGGCACACAAUGCAUGGAGCUCUGCCACCUUACACACCGUGAUCUUGGGGACGCCCCUUAAUUUCUGACCCUCAGUGCCUUUAUCUCCACCAGGGGAAAAGCCACUUAGCUCCCAACCCUACCCCCCGCAGGCCCCCUCAGAGAGCCAUUGUGGGAGUCAGAUGUGCUGACAAACACAAAAGCAUUCUGGAAAAAAACCGAAGCACCAAGGAAUUCUAAGGCAUGGUUAUUUUGUGCAAGUUUGGAUGCCCCUGGCACCCCCAAAAUCCUUUCUUGUAGUAGAAUCACCAGUGAUACAAGAUUAGCAGGUGUGUCUCCUUUUAGGCAAAUCUGAUGUUUAAAAGACACAAAUUGGCUGAUGAUUCACUUCACAAAGUUUCCCUUAAUGUGAAAAUGGAAAGAUCCCGGGCGCAUUUUAAAUAUACUGCCGUUUUUAAAAAUACCUGUUCAUCUAGAGGUUUUUCAGAACAUACUCGCGGCGCUGGGUCAGGGACUCCCGUUAUCAUACCCCUCCAUAAGCUGGGGGUCUGUGAGAAGGGAGGGAGAGCCUGUGCCCCCAGGAAGGCCUUGGCAGGGUCCCCUGGGAGGCACGGAGAGCCCCCUUGGACUUCUUGAUCCCAGCCCUUCCAGGCCCUCUCCUGCCUGUCAGGAGGAGGGGCCUGGCCUCUCAGGGAGGGCUCCGGGAGGGGGUCUCCAAGCACACGGCAAUUCUGGGGCAAGGCCAGGAAAUCAGCGUGGAUCCGCCCCACUGUCACACUUUCCAGGACCACACCCCACACGUCUCUUGCACUGGCUGAAUUUAAGGCGUAUUUUUCAGCUGUCAGGAACCCUAACCGUGAGUACAACUUCUCGGUUCUGUGAGUCCUUCCGGCAAAUUAUGCAACCUGAGAGUGGUUUUGGGGCUCCUUGAACUUGAAGCUGGUGUCAGAAGCGAGGACGGUCUAGUGUGGAUGGCUGCUUCUCACAUGGACCCUUGACGUGACCAGUGAUGUGCUGGACCCAUCCGGGUAGAUGAUGCUUCCCGCCCGCCCCAGCUUGCUGCCCUGGAACCAGGAAACACUCAAAUGUCCCGAGUUCCCACCAGGGGAAACAGACAGUUUAAAAAUUAAACACGGCCUUUGAUCUAUGUACCCACACCUCUGAUCACCCCCCGGCCUUGUGCACGAAUAUUCAGCCUUGACCCAGGAAUUCUGUGAAUCCAGAAGGAAGGGGGGCACAGGUUGGGCCUCCCUCACCCCACAUCCCACCGGAUGGUCCAGGAGGUGGCCUGGGGAUGUCAUCCUUGGUGCUCCACCUGCUCCCUGGAGACACGUGCACCAAUCGGGCUUCCCCCCUCUGCUACUGGGAUGCCAGGUGCGCCUCUGGCUUCCGAGAAGGUGUUUGAUUUCAGCCUGGCUGCUGGGGGGGGCCACUGGUUUUGCAAUGGCAGGAAAGAAUCAAGAGCAUGAGCCUGUCUGAAAUGUCUCCCGAGAAGAAGAAGAAAAAAAAAAAAAAAACAGGUAAGAGAAAAGUGGACAAUGGCGGCUCAAGCGUGUCGUGCCUAAAACCGUUCAACCCACUAACAGACGGAAAACCACGUCUACACUGAGGAGCCUUUCCAACCCGUAGUUUAUUUAGCUGUGCUUUUUAAGGGACUCUUAAUCAGAAAGGUGAUUUCAAAAUCAAAUAUGCUUUGGAAAGUACUUUUGUUCCUAGAGUAAAGUAUAAAUAUGAUUUACCCUAUUCUAUUCUCAACAAAUAUUAUUUUUCAUCUGCCAACAGACUCCUCAUAAGAACACGGGGCACGAGGUCAGCGCUGAUGUGCCGACACACGCACAGAGCACGAGGUUCAGAUCGGUGCCUGUGGGCCUCAGCCUACUGACUCACUUUUGCCGGAAACAUGGCGGGCACGUGUCAAAGAUCAGAAACGACUUGAGAUCUGCAGCCAGAGGACAGCUUGAAAUUUCCCAGAUCAAAUCAGUGAACCGCUCUUUACAGCAAAGUAUGAGAACUCGGGCCUGAGCCCGUGAUCACGAGUGUCAGCACAGGAACGUGAAGGAGGGAUUCAGGGCCCCCGAAGACACACACACAGAGCAUGAAAUGGAACACGUUCAAACGAUACGGGCGAUUCUCAUCAUUCAUGAACUUAGGCAUCACAAAGUCGCAGCAAUCACCGAAUUAGCAAACACUGAAACACCGUCCUGAGCAAACACGGGGUUUCGGUCCUACACGCCUCUAGUCAGUGUUUUGUCGACUCACCAGCACACGACCACCGUAACCAUGUGUUUGUUAGUGCCCGGCUCAAGUACAUUCACGUUCUUGUGCAGCCAUCACCCCAGCCUCCCAGCCCCCACCACUCUACAGCUGUCUCUGUGAACUCAACGAGUCUAGGGACCUCGUGUAAGUGGGAUCCUAUAGCAUCUGUCCUGUUGGGACUGGCUGACCCCUCGGCAGAGGUCGUCAAGGUCCAUCUAUGUAGCGGGUAUCCGAAUUUCCUUCCCUUCUAAGACUGAACAAUAUUCUACUGUGCGGGUGGACCACGUUUUGUUUAUCCCUUCAUCCACUGAUGGACACUUGGGUUGCUCCCGCCUUUUGGAGAGAGUGAGCAGUCCCACCACGUACAUGGAUGUGCACAUAUCUCCUCAGGACCCUGCUUCCGAUUCUUUUGCGGAAGUGGAAUCACUCAUUCAGUGGGCUUUUUGCUUUGUUUUGGGUUCACAGAAAUAAGCAUCUACAUGGAGCUUCACUUCUUGGGCCAGGCCACCGGAGCCAGCUCAGCUCAUAGAAGGAGCUAGCCAUAUGCGUGUCGGGCAUCUAGGACGGUGGGGAGUCUGCACACACAUGUUCAUUUCAAAUGGUCACUAAUGACCCUUUAUCCACGCGUAACCUGUUUGGCUAAAAAAAACAAAAAAACAAACAAAAAAAAACUACCUUAUUUGUUUGAAGUGGAAA